CGCCUAGGGUAAAAUCGGUAAUUGGGGCUAAGUCGUAACAAGGUAGCCGUAUCGGAAGGUGCGGCUGGAAUACCUCCUUU
rnacentral:rRNA from 1 species